rnacentral:rRNA from 1 species
AUUGAACGCUGGCGGCAGGCCUAACACAUGCAAGUCGAACGAGUGGCGGACGGGUGAGUAAUGUCUGGGAAACUGCCUGAUGGAGGGGGAUAAAUACUGGAAACGGUAGCUAAUACCGCAUACCAUCGGAUGUGCCGAGAUUGGAUUAGCUAGUUGGUGGGGUAACGGCUCACCUAGGCGAAGAUCCCUAGCUGGCCUGAGAGGGUGACCAGCCACAUUGGAACUGAGACACGGUCCAGACUCCUACGGGAGGCAGCAGUGGGGAAUAUUCGGCAAUGGACGAAAGCCUGAUCCAGCCAUGCCGCGUGUGUGAAGAAGGCUUUCGGAUUGUAAAGUUCUUUCGGUAGAGAGGUGUUACUCACAGAAAAAGCCCCGGCUAACUCCGUGCCAGCAGCCGCGGUAAUAC